rnacentral:rRNA from 1 species
GAUGAACGCUGGCGGCGUGCCUAAUACAUGCAAGUCGAGCGAACAGACGAGGAGCUUGCUCCUCUGACGUUAUCGGCGGACGGGUGAGUAACACGUGGAUAACCUACCUAUAAGACUGGGAUAACUUCGGGAAACCGGAUCUAAUACCGGAUAAUAUAUUGAACCGCAUGGUUCAAUAGUGAAAUACGGUUUUGCUGUCACUUAUAGAUGGAUCCGCGCCGCAUUAUCUAGUUGGUAAGGUAACGGCUUACCAAGGCAACGAUGCGUAGCCGACCUGAGAGGGUGAUCGGCCACACUGGAACUGAGACACGGUCCAGACUCCUACGGGAGGCAGCAGUAGGGAAUCUUCCGCAAUGGGCGAAAGCCUGACGGAGCAACGCCGCGUGAGUGAUGAAGGUCUUCGGAUCGUAAAACUCUGUUAUUAGGGAAGAACAAAUGUGUAAGUAACUAUGCACGUCUUGACGGUACCUAAUCAGAAAGCCACGGCUAACUACGUG